CUAACGGAGCUUAACCUUCAGUCCUCUCAUUUGACAUGGGCUUCUGCAAGUACUGGGAAUUGUUGGAGGAUGUUCAGUAUUCUAGGUGGUGAGAGGGAAACCAAGUUAGCAUUAGGAAAUAGGUAAGCAUGAAUGGAAGAUUACCUGAAGGAGUAUCAGAAGAGACUUGAAUCACUGACUUCAUGGAUCCCCCAAAUUACAUAAGCACCACAAAACCAGCAUCUGCCAAAGUAGAUCACUCAGCUUUUCAGGAAGCAAACAGUAGAGGAGUUUGUUUGCAAUCAAGUAUUUUCUUCAAAGUAGGAUAUCCAGACCCUGCAUGACCACUCUUGAAUCAGAAAUCAUUUAUCCUAGCAACAUUUCCAUGUCUAAGCCACUUCCAGAGUUAUUGCCACAGCCAACAGGUCAUUGUUUCCAUCCCUCUGGCAUCCUGAACUCCAGAGGAGGAGUGGGGAAGGAGUCAGUUGCUCAAGAAUCUCUCAGGUGAGAAAGGGAUUCAUAAAAUGAGAGGUAAAAGGGCAGAACCAGAGACAUGCUUAGCAAGAGCUCCAGGUGGAGAAAAUUAAGGUAAGCCUUUUCUGGAUGUCCUCUGAGCAUGUGAAAAACGGAGGAGCAAAGAAAAUAAAAGAUCAAAUUCUCCUGGCCCAUCCAAGGUAAGCUAUAGGGUAUUCAGAAUACUAUGAUGUGUAUUCAUGUUCUGACCUCCAAUAAGGAAAUUUUGAUUACCUUGAUAGUUGGUGGAAAAGUAGAAUUGACAAAAAAUGGAUGGAUACAUAUAAGUUUUUGAGGACUCCUAACUUUGAGAUGGAGGGAAAUAAAGCAUAUCGAAAUAGGCAAUUUAGCAGUCCUGACCUCAUAGCAUUGCUAGUUAUUUUUUCAGCCAAACACAGAAGGUACUUACAAAAGAGAAGGGAAUGAUAAUUUAGAAAGUUUAUGUGGAUAAGGAGCUCAGAUAACUGGAGAGUAUAGACAGCAAACUGAAAUAGAAGAAAAAGAAUAAAGCAGUGGAUGAUAGGUGAAAAUUAUAUACGUAAUGGGUAACUUAGAUUGAUAAUUGAGGAUGGAUGGAGUGUUGAUGGAAAAACUGUACAGAAAUUUUUAAUUUGAAUAGAUUCACAGAUAGAUAAAAGGAUGGGUAAUAUAUUUAUUAAAUUAUAUCUGCAACAAAUCAUUUUUAUUUCCUGUUUAACAGACAAAAAAGAAAAUUGCUUUGAUGGAGUCCAAUUGCUAAGUGGCAGAUUACAGCUUUUCUAUAUUGUUAUGAAAAAUGGGGUUUCCAGAAAUUUCUAUGUUUGUCUUCAAAGAGAGCUGCAGCUUCGUGAUGAAAAGCCCCCUCUAACAUUGGACACGUGUUCUGCUGGAGGCCGCUCUAAAUCAUGGAAGCAAAUCCAUCCAAUGGGAGAAAUCUGCCUUAACAUCCCAGAAACAUUUCCACCUGUAAAUUCUGAGAUCUUAAAAUUAGAAUCUGCCUCCAAUUAUGACUUGACAGUACAUACAAGUUCCAGGAGAGCCCCAGCAAAGCAUGCAAUAACUGCAAUGGUGUAAACUGGCGCACUGCUGUUACUGGGAGGGCUGCGUCAUCAACAC
ensembl:lncRNA